GAUGAACGCUGGCGGCGUGCCUAAUACAUGCAAGUCGAGCGAACAGACGAGGAGCUCGCUCCUCUGACGUUGGCGGCGGACGGGUGAGUAACACGUGGAUAACCUACCUAUAAGACUGGGGUAACUUCGGGAGACCGGAUCUAAUACCGGAUAAUAUAUUGAACGGCAUGGAUCAAUAGUGAAAGACGGUUUUGCUGUCACUAAUAGAUGGUUCCGCGCUGCAUUAGCUAGUUGGUAAGGUAACGGCUUACCAAGGCAACGAUGCGUAGCCGACCUGAGAGGGUGAUCGGCCACACUGGAACUGAGACACGGUCCAGACUCCUACGGGAGGCAGCAGUAGGGAAUAUUCCGCAAUGGGCGAAAGCCUGACGGAGCAACGCCGCGUGAGUGAUGAAGGUCUUCGGAUCGUAAAGCUCUGUUAUUAGGGAAGAACAAAUGUGUAAGUAAAUAUGGACGUCUUGACGGUACCUAAACAGAAAGCAACGGCUAACUACGUG
rnacentral:rRNA from 1 species